rnacentral:rRNA from 1 species
UGCAAGUCGAGCGAACGGACGAGAAGCUUGCUUCUCUGAUGUUAGCGGCGGACGGGUGAGUAACACGUGGAUAACCUACCUAUAAGACUGGGAUAACUUCGGGAAACCGGAGCUAAUACCGGAUAAUAUUUUGAACCGCAUGGUUCAAAAGUGAAAGACGGUCUUGCUGUCACUUAUAGAUGGAUCCGCGCUGCAUUAGCUAGUUGGUAAGGUAACGGCUUACCAAGGCAACGAUGCAUAGCCGACCUGAGAGGGUGAUCGGCCACACUGGAACUGAGACACGGUCCAGACUCCUACGGGAGGCAGCAGUAGGGAAUCUUCCGCAAUGGGCGAAAGCCUGACGGAGCAACGCCGCGUGAGUGAUGAAGGUCUUCGGAUCGUAAAACUCUGUUAUUAGGGAAGAACAUAUGUGUAAGUAACUGUGCACAUCUUGACGGUACCUAAUCAGAAAGCCACGGCUAACUACGUGCCAGCAGCCGCGGUAAUACGUAGGUGGCAAGCGUUAUCCGGAAUUAUUGGGCGUAAAGCGCGCGUAGGCGGUUUUUUAAGUCUGAUGUGAAAGCCCACGGCUCAACCGUGGAGGGUCAUUGGAAACUGGAAAACUUGAGUGCAGAAGAGGAAAGUGGAAUUCCAUGUGUAGCGGUGAAAUGCGCAGAGAUAUGGAGGAACACCAGUGGCGAAGGCGACUUUCUGGUCUGUAACUGACGCUGAUGUGCGAAAGCGUGGGGAUCAAACAGGAUUAGAUACCCUGGUAGUCCACGCCGUAAACGAUGAGUGCUAAGUGUUAGGGGGUUUCCGCCCCUUAGUGCUGCAGCUAACGCAUUAAGCACUCCGCCUGGGGAGUACGACCGCAAGGUUGAAACUCAAAGGAAUUGACGGGGACCCGCACAAGCGGUGGAGCAUGUGGUUUAAUUCGAAGCAACGCGAAGAACCUUACCAAAUCUUGACAUCCUUUGACAACUCUAGAGAUAGAGCUUUCCCCUUCGGGGGACAAAGUGACAGGUGGUGCAUGGUUGUCGUCAGCUCGUGUCGUGAGAUGUUGGGUUAAGUCCCGCAACGAGCGCAACCCUUAAGCUUAGUUGCCAUCAUUAAGUUGGGCACUCUAAGUUGACUGCCGGUGACAAACCGGAGGAAGGUGGGGAUGACGUCAAAUCAUCAUGCCCCUUAUGAUUUGGGCUACACACGUGCUACAAUGGACAAUACAAAGGGCAGCGAAACCGCGAGGUCAAGCAAAUCCCAUAAAGUUGUUCUCAGUUCGGAUUGUAGUCUGCAACUCGACUACAUGAAGCUGGAAUCGCUAGUAAUCGUAGAUCAGC